UCUGAAUCUGCGAACGGCUCCGCAAACCAGUUGUAAACUACAGCAAGCAAGCACGGGGGGUUGGCCUUCACGGGUCGGUCCCUCGGGCGAUAUGGAUAACCCUGGUAAUUCUGAGGCUAAUACAAGAACGUAACCCCUGGUUAACUGAGCCCUCGCCCUCGGGUGGGGAUACUUGGGAGGCUGGGAAGCGUGCGAGUACUAAUGCGAAUGAGAACCGGGAAUGGGCGCACGCUUGGACCGCGCUACAAAGGAUCAUUACUCGGCAAUCCCUCCGGGGUGCGCUUUGUUUUGGCCCUAGCGGCUCUUGCGGUGUGCUUCUGACCUAUCAACUAGACGGCAGCGUAACGGACAUGCUAUGGU
rnacentral:rRNA from 1 species